rnacentral:lncRNA from 1 species
CCGCAUUUCCUCGUUCUGAGUCACCCUUGCUCAGAACGCUUGACUUUGGGACUUCCUGUCCGCACUCGCGGCCCCUAACCUGCCCCGGGAGCCCGGGAGUGCGGCUUGGGAAGGAGGGAAAGGAGUGUGUGAGCAGGGAUUGGCCCGAACCUAUCUCCACGCUCUCCCCCGGGACUGGAGGUGAAGGGGGGCGUGGAGAAAAUCUCAGGGAACAGGGGCUUCGACAGGGGGCUCCCGCCCGCCCGAGCCCCCUCCCCAAAAUGCGAGGCCUGCACAGUAUGCCUUCUCCGCAAAACCUCGGCAAGCGGGUUAGUGAAUUCAGGUCACUAAGAAGCUGAGCCCGCGGAAAGCUGCCCAAACACCCCCUUCUCUAGGGGACUCCCCACGCCCCCCGCCGGGACGCGUUCCCGAAGUCGCCGCCUGGACUGCAACCGCGUGGCCUGCGCCGCGUCCUCUUCUCCGCAGCCUCCGAGGCCCGUGCGACCAAGCUGAAACCGCUUAUUCUCCGGAGCCCCUAUGACCCCGGGUGGGGGCCAGGGCUCGCCUCGAUCGCAGCCCGUGCGCCCUCCGGACUCCAGUUCGCCGGGACUGGGCGACACCAGAAGCGGCUAGUGUGAGUGAAACAAACGGGAAAUUUGCUCUGGCCCGCCUGCCCAGCCACCCACGGCUGCCUGUUGGCCAAUCACCAUUUGACCAGUCCAGGAAGAGCAACUGUGGCAGGCCUGAUUUCCUGGGAGGCCCCAGACUCCCUUUGCCUACCUCUUCCUCUCUGACCCCAUCCUCGCUUUGAUGCCCGGGACCUGCUACCCAGGUACGUGGGUCUUCUCUGCCGGAUGUGGACAUCUUGGCCUCUCGCCUUGGUGCCUACUCUUGGGAAGCGGGUCCAGACAUCUCUCCUGCAGGAAGAGAGGAAGGGUUAAUUACAGGCGUUGGGGAUAAUUAAAGCCUUUGACCAAGAGGAUGGGAGGAGAGCCUUGGUCCUCUGAGAGCCUGUGAGUGUGCAAGUGCCUGUGAGAAUAAGUGCAUGUGUAUGAGGGUGUGAGAUUUUGUUGAAUGUGCAUUCGUGUGUAUAGACAUGAGAGUGUUGAUGUAUGUAUGACUGUGUGUGAGUGUGUGUAUGGACAUAAGUGUUGUAUGUGACUGGGCAGGGUGGCUCAGGCCUGUAAUUCCAGCACUUUGGGAGGCCGAGGCAGGCAGAUCAUUUGAGGUCAGGAGCUCCAGACAUGCCUGGCCAACAUGGUGAAACCCCGUCUCUACUAAAAAUACAAAAAAAUUAGCUGGGCGUGGUGCCACUCACCUGUAAUCCCAUCUACUAAGGAGGCUAAGGCAGGAGAAUCACUUGAACCCCAGAGGCAGAGAUUGCAGUGAGCCGAGAUUGCGCCACUCACUGCACUCCAGCCUGGGCCAGCAAGACUCUGUCUCAAAAAAAAAAAGAAAAAAGUGUUGGUAUAUGUGUGUAUAAGUGUGUGUGCAUGGGCAUGAGAGGAUUUGGGUAUGAGUGUGUGUCUGUGUGUGUUUUUGUGGAUUGUGUGGAUGUGUCUAGAUGUGUGUAUGAGUGUGCAUGUGGGUGUGAGAGAUUUGUGUAUGAGUGCAUGUGAGUGUGGAUUUGUGUAUGCAUGUAUUUGUGAGUGUGCCAUACUUCACAGUAGAUGUGGAGUCAGCCCAUGAGUUUCUGAACAAGUUAUUUCACUUUUCUGAGCCUCAGUUUGCUCCUGGAAAGAUGUAAAGCCUAUUUAGGAGAGUUACUGUAAAGAUCAAAUAAAGUCAUGCAUGUAAACCACAGGGGCCAGGACUACAGAAAGCACGCAUGAAAUCUCAGCUGUUACUGGGUUACAUGCGGUUCAGCAACAGGAAGCCACAUCCGUGGAGAGCAGGGCAUGUGUUGUGCCCAGGGCUCUGUGGACAGGCACAUGGGGUGUGUGGAUGAGUGUGAGCAUGUGUGUAGUACGUGGUUUGGAUAAGUGUUUUGCAUGUUGUAUUGGAGCCUCUGGGCUAGGGACACUGGCGUGUGUAAGACUCCAUGUGAGUUGUGUGGAAGCCACUGCUUGUACAUGUGUGUUACAUGCCACUUGCAGGCUCCAUCUGUCAGAUGUGUCACUAGAGGACACACUGCAGGAGGACAGGGAUGUUUGUAGAAAACAGACAGUGCCUGGGCCAGGCGCGGUGGCUCACGCCUGUAAUCCCAGCACUUUGGGAGGCCGAGGCAGAUAGAUCACUUGAGGUCAGGAGUUUGAGACCAAGCUUGUCAUCAUGGUGAAACCCCGUCUCUACUAAAAAUACAAAAAUUAGCCGGGCGUGGUGGCGCAUGCCCGUAAUCCCAGCUGCUCGAGUUGGAGGCAGG